GAUGAACGCUGGCGGCGUGCCUAACACAUGCAAGUCGAGCGAACAGACGCGGCGCUUGCUCCUUUCACGUUAGCCGCGCACGGGUGUGUAACACGUGUAUACUCUCCUUAUAUUACUGAUAUAUCCUCGGGACACCGGAGCUUAUACCGGAUGAUAUAUUGAUCCGCAUGGUUCAAUAGUGAAUGUCGGCUUUGCUGUCUCUUAUAGAUGGUUCCGCGCGGCUUUGGCUAGUUGGUACGGAAACGGGUUACCAAGGCGACGAUGCGUAGCCGACGUGAGAGAGGGAUCGGCCACACGGGAGCGGAGACGCGGUCCUGACGCCUACGGGAGGGAGCAGAAGGGAAUCUUCCGCAAUAGGCGGAAGCCUGACGGAGCAACGCCGCGUGAGAGAUAGAGGUCCUCGGAGCGUAAAGCUCGGUUAUUAGUGAAGAACAAAUGUCGAAGUAACUAUGCACGGAGUGACGGUACCUAGUCAGAAAGCCACGGCUAACUACGUG
rnacentral:rRNA from 1 species